rnacentral:rRNA from 1 species
CCCUUAGAUGUUCGGGGCCGCACGCGCGCUACACUGAAGGAAUCAGCACGUCUUUCUCCUUGUCCGAAAGGACUGGGUAACCCGCUGAACCUCCUUCGUGCUAGGGAUUGGGGCUUGUAAUUCUUCCCCAUGAACGAGGAAUUCCCAGUAAGCGCGAGUCAUAAGCUCGCGUUGAUUACGUCCCUGCCCUUUGUACACACCUCCCGUCGCUACUACCGAUUGGAUGGUUUAGUGAGAUCCUCGGAUUGGUCCCGGAGCGGCCUCUGGUCGUGCCGGAGUGCCGAAAAGAAUGUCGAACUUGAUCAUCUAGAGGAAGUAAAAGUCGUAACA